rnacentral:rRNA from 1 species
UACGUAGGGUGCAAGCGUUGUCCGGAAUUAUUGGGCGUAAAGAGCUCGUAGGCGGUCUGUCGCGUCGGCUGUGAAAUCCCGAGGCUCAACCUCGGGUCUGCAGUCGAUACGGGCAAACUAGAGUAUUGCAGGGGAGACUGGAAUUCCUGGUGUAGCGGUGAAAUGCGCAGAUAUCAGGAGGAACACCGGUGGCGAAGGCAGCUUGCUGGGGACGGUACUGACGCUGAGGCGCGAAAGCGUGGGGAGCAAACAGG